GAUUGCUCCUUUGUGGAGUUUUUGUGGUGAGUCUCAACAUUGGUGAGCAUCCAUUUUGACUGAAGGCCUAUCACUGUGUUCUCCACCAGAGGCUAGCUACUUCAACAGGACCCAUUCUCCAUGUGGGAAGAGCUUCAAUGACAAAUAUCUUCUGGAAUUGGGAAGCUUCAAGGCUUACUGGAAACCAGAUUCAAGUCUUCUUCACCAGAACAUUUGAAACAGCAAGCACCCAAACAUCUGUUCGCUGCAUAAAGCCUGGGCAUCACACCCAGUCAAUACUAAACAACCCAGGACAGCAGGGCAAAGAAGUUGUAAAGAGCUUUGCUGGAGGGUGUUGACUGGAUGCGUGCAAGUUGUAGAUAAAAAAGAGAACACUGCCUCAUCCUGGAGGGUAUUCAAGGAAGGGAAGCCAGCAAUGACCCUCUCCUGCUUCACUUUCCAGUCACUGACAACACUUGUGCUUUGCAAAGAAGUCUUAGCAACCCAGUGACUUUGUAAUUAAACAGACUUUAAGCUCAAAGAUCCCAC